GCACAUGAACCCGAAAAGCUGCUCCCUCCAGUUUGCCUGGCCCAGAGACUUCACGGAGUGGGGCAGCAAAGGAGAAAGAGACUUUCAGCAGAAGGCUGUUUCAAUGACAAUGCACUUAUGGUGAAUGGUGAAGGAAGUGAAGAAAUUCUGGUCAGUUGCAGUUCAACUUAUGGAGAGAAGAACAAUGAGCUUUGUCACUGGAAGCUUCCAAGAAGAAACUGGACUACCAUCUGUCAAAAGUGGUGUAGGGUCUGCUUGGGUGGGGGGUUG